rnacentral:lncRNA from 1 species
GGGGGCGGUCCUCGGAAGCCCAGGGCGCCCACGGCGUCUGUCCCAUCCCAUCCCAUCCCAUCCCAUCCCAUCCCAUCCCAUCCCAUCCCAUCCCAUCCCAUCCCAUCCCAUCCCAUCCCAUCCCAUCCCCAUAACCCCGCGCAGCCCUCGCCGCAGAGAAGCCCCGACCUGGGCGCACGGCCUGGCACGAAGGGAGGGCGUGGGGACGCUUCGCCCGCGCAUCUCCUGUCUUCCGCCAGCCGGUUGCGGACCCGCCCUUGGCGGUGCUCCCCGCGCCUCUUUCCCCAGUUUCGGAGAGCUGAGUGGGAGGACCAGGGGGAGGGAGCCAGCGGCGCGGGCCCAGGGCAGCGGGUCACGGGGCGCUGGGUGCCCUUUGGACUCGAAGGGCCUGUGCAGUCGGGGCGGGGAGGGAGUAGGGUGGCCCGGCCAGGGGCGCCACCGGCAGCCAGCCCCUGAGCCGAGGCCCCGCUGCCCGGUCGGGGACUCCCUCCAACCACCUCUCCUGGGUAUUGGGCACUGGCGUGCACUGGUGUUUAGGAGGAUGCGAGGGCGCCGACCCGGUCCCCCUUUCCCGGCUGGCUGGCCACCGUCCACCUCGGCAAUGGCCGGGAGCUCCUGGCGUGGCUUCCGUUCCCGGGCAGGUUGGCCAAGAGCUGCCAGGUGCGGAGGCCCGGCCCGCGGUGUCGCCCCACCCUGGGUCGUCCCCCCUGCGGCCCUACAGCACCGCCGCGGGCAGCACUGGAACCUGGAUGGCUCCCCGGAGCGCGGCAGAUCGAAUCCAUCUUCCUGUCCCUUUGAUGCUUACAGCGCGCCGGACCCAGGCGAGGCCUGUGCCUGCACCGCAGACCCGCCUCCGGGAGGCCGGCACCCAGCGCCUUGGGGGUCACGCUCUGACGUCCUCCAGGCCCAGAGGGGGCCUUGGAUCCAGCUGGUCUGAGAUGGGGGCUGCUCAGUGCUGGGCGGCGCUCCCCAGCGUCCAGCCUUGGGGGCCUGCACCCGGGAGAGGAGGCUGUGGCUUGGGGUUCGGGCCGGGGCUUUCUUCCCGAAUGGAGGCCGCUGGGGGCACCUGGGCGCCGGAG